rnacentral:rRNA from 1 species
UACGGGGGAGCAACGUUGUUCGGAAUCACUGGGCGUAAAGGGCGUGUAGGCGGCUGGAUAAGUGGGAUGUUAAAUCCCCGGCUCAACCGGGACCUGCAUCUCAUACUGUUCAGCUCGAGCACAUCAGAGGAGACUGGAAUUCCCGGUGUAGCGGUGAAAUGCGCAGAUAUCAGGAGGAACACCAAUGGCGAAAGCACUCUGCUGGCCGACACUGACACUGAGAGACGAAAGCGUAGG